UGAAAGCAUUGUGUAAAUUGCCAAGC
rnacentral:piRNA from 1 species